rnacentral:rRNA from 1 species
UACGUAGGGGGCAAGCGUUGUCCGGAAUCAUUGGGCGUAAAGCGCGUGUAGGCGGUCCGGUAAGUCCGCUGUGAAAGUCGGGGGCUCAACCCUCGGAUGCCGGUGGAUACUGUCGGGCUUGAGUACGGAAGAGGCGAGUGGAAUUCCUGGUGUAGCGGUGAAAUGCGCAGAUAUCAGGAGGAACACCAAUUGCGAAGGCAGCUCGCUGGGACGUUACUGACGCUGAGACGCGAAGCGUGGGGAGCAAACAGG